UCGAGAAUCAUUCACAAUGGGGGAAACCCUGAUGGUGCGACGCCGCGUGGAGGAUGAAGGCCCUCGGGUCGUAAACUCCUGUCAAGUGGGAACAAGAAAGUGAUAGUACCACUAGAGGAAGAGACGGCUAACUCUGUGCCAGCAGCCGCGGUAAUACAGAGGUCUCAAGCGUUGUUCGGAUUUACUGGGCGUAAAGGGUGCGUAGGCGGCGAUGUAAGUCGAGUGUGAAAUUUCGGAGCUCAACUCCGAAACUGCACUCGAUACUGCGUUGCUAGAGGAUUGUAGAGGAGUGUGGAAUUCACGGUGUAGCAGUGAAAUGCGUAGAUAUCGUGAGGAAGACCAGUGGCGAAGGCGACACUCUGGGCAACUCCUGACGCUGAGGCACGAAGGCUAGGGGAGCAAACGGG
rnacentral:rRNA from 1 species